rnacentral:rRNA from 1 species
CCGAGAAUUUUUCACAAUGGGCGAAAGCCUGAUGGAGCGACGCCGCGUGGGGGAUGAAUGGCUUCGGCCCGUAAACCCCUGUCAUUCGCGAGCAAACGUUAUUAUUUAAAAGAUGAUAGCCUGAUAGUAGCGAAAGAGGAAGGGACGGCUAACUCUGUGCCAGCAGCCGCGGUAAUACAGAGGUCCCAAGCGUUGUUCGGAUUUACUGGGCGUAAAGGGUGCGUAGGUGGUGGGGUAAGUCGGAUGUGAAAUCUCCGAGCUCAACUCGGAAAGUGCAUUGGAAACUACCCUGCUCGAGGGUUGGAGGGGGGACUGGAAUACUUGGUGUAGCAGUGAAAUGCGUAGAUAUCAGGUGGAACACCAGUGGCGAAGGCGAGUCCCUGGACAACUCCUGACACUGAGGCACGAAAGCUAGGGGAGCAAACAGG